GCCUAACACAUGCAAGUCGAACGGGACUUAGUGGAAAGCGGCUUCGGCCAAUGGAAGCUAAGUUUAGUGGCGAACGGGUGAGUAACGCGUGAGGAACCUGCCUUUCAGGGGGGGACAACAGUUGGAAACGACUGCUAAUACCGCAUAACAUAUCGGGACCGCAUGAUACUGAUAUCAAAGCUUUAUGUGCUGAAAGAUGGCCUCGCGUAUGAUUAGCUAGUUGGUGAGUGAACGGCUAACCAAGGCGACGAUCAGUAGCCGGCCGGAGAGGAUGGACGGCCACAUUGGGACUGAGAUACGGCCCAGACUCCUACGGGAGGCAGCAGUGGGGAAUAUUGGGCAAUGGGGGAAACCCUGACCCAGCAACGCCGCGUGAAGGAAGAAGGCCUUCGGGUUGUAAACUUCUUUUACCAGGGACGGAGGACGUGACGGUACCUGGAGAAAAAGCAACGGCUAACUACGUGCCAGCAGCCGCCGUAAUAC
rnacentral:rRNA from 1 species